GGGUGCGAUCAUACAAUCACUAAUGCACCGGAUCCCAUCUGAACUCCGCAGUUAAGCGUGCUUAAGCAGCCCUUUUUAUUUUUUAUUUUUUAUUUUUCUACCUUACACGAGUCUAAACUUGGAAACCUCAUAACUUUGAAACCGUGAGGAACUACGUCGCGCAUA
rnacentral:rRNA from 1 species